rnacentral:rRNA from 1 species
AACGUAGGAGACAAACGUUAUCCGGAGUUACUGGGCGUAAAGGGCGUGUAGGUGGUUGCGUAAGUCGACUGUGAAAUCUCCGGGCUUAACCCGGAAAGGUCAGCCGAUACUGCGGGGCUAGAGUGCAGAAGGGGCAACUGGAAUUCUCGGUGUAGCGGUGAAAUGCGUAGAUAUCGAGAGGAACACCUGCGGCGAAGGCGGGUUGCUGGGCUGACACUGACGCUGAUGCGCGAAAGCUAGGGGAGCGAACGGG